CCCCUCUCGGGGUCAUACCUGGAGAGUUUCCACUACUCUUCCAGUCUUGACUAUGGGAGGGAGAGUCAAGCAGAGGCAUAUCCAUUCCAUCCCUAGCUUGGGCAGUAGGUAGCCAGUGAAAGGCAAUCUGCUACAAGU
rfam:Ornithorhynchus anatinus chromosome 1, whole genome shotgun sequence.